rnacentral:rRNA from 1 species
UUGACGGGAGCUCUGCUGCAUUCAACCGAUCGGCCCAGCGGUCCAAUGGUUUUGACUUCCUCGAUGAGGGCAAUGCCGUUGAUAGCCGUUGGGUGCUUGAUCGGUGUAUUUGCGGCUGGUAUGCGCUGAGGGCUUUGUGGGCGCGUCUCGACGGGUGUGGAGUGGACCAUACCUUCUCGGUGUGGAACCCUUCGCGCUCUUAGGCAUGUCGCCCGUAAAGUUUCGAAAGUGCCGUCUCCGCUAUGGUGCAUCGGCUUUGUCGAGCUGCUGUCGCUUCAGGUUGGUCGCAUGCGACCGCCGGUUGUCGUCAAUGGCGUGAUGAGGUGCAGAUGCGCUGAGGCGUGCACCUCGGUGUGAACGUUGACCACCUAUCCGACCCGUCUUGAAACACGGACCAAGGAGUUUAGCAUAUGCGCGAGUCAUUGGGUGGAAAACCCAAAGGCGCAAUGAAAGUAAAAGUCGUCUCGAUGCGACCGAUAUGGGAUCCGUAUGGCUUCCGAGUCGUGCGGAGCACCAUAGCCCCGUCCCCGUUGCUUGCAAUAGGGCGGAGGUAGAGCGUAUACGCUGAGACCCGAAAGAUGGUGAACUAUGCCUGAGCAGGAUGAAGCCAGAGGAAACUCU